rnacentral:rRNA from 1 species
UAGAAAAUAGGUGCCCGUACCGCAAACCGACACAGGUAGUCAAGAUGAGAAUUCUAAGGUGAGCGAGCGAACUCUCGUUAAGGAACUCGGCAAAAUGACCCCGUAACUUCGGGAGAAGGGGUGCUCUUUAGGGUUAACGCCCAGAAGAGCCGCAGUGAAUAGGCCCAAGCGACUGUUUAUCAAAAACACAGGUCUCUGCUAAACCGUAAGGUGAUGUAUAGGGGCUGACGCCUGCCCGGUGCUGGAAGGUUAAGAGGAGUGGUUAGCUUCUGCGAAGCUACGAAUCGAAGCCCCAGUAAACGGCGGCCGUAACUAUAACGGUCCUAAGGUAGCGAAAUUCCUUGUCGGGUAAGUUCCGACCCGCACGAAAGGCGUAACGAUUUGGGCACUGUCUCAACGAGAGACUCGGUGAAAUCAUAGUACCUGUGAAGAUGCAGGUUACCCGCGACAGGACGGAAAGACCCCGUGGAGCUUUACUGUAGCCUGAUAUUGAAAUUCGGCACAGCUUGUACAGGAUAGGUAGGAGCCUUUGAAACGUGAGCGCUAGCUUACGUGGAGGCGCUGGUGGGAUACUACCCUAGCUGUGUUGGCUUUCUAACCCGCACCACUUAUCGUGGUGGGAGACAGUGUCAGGCGGGCAGUUUGACUGGGGCGGUCGCCUCCUAAAAGGUAACGGAGGCGCUCAAAGGUUCCCUCAGAAUGGUUGGAAAUCAUUCAUAGAGUGUAAAGGCAUAAGGGAGCUUGACUGCGAGACCUACAAGUCGAGCAGGGUCGAAAGACGGACUUAGUGAUCCGGUGGUU